rnacentral:ncRNA from 1 species
GGAGUGGCCGGAACUCGGCCCCCGGACGAGCACACCGUACCCGGCCUGCGACAAGACGGUGUUUG